AAAUAAUAGUGAUAGAUAGGUAGGUGGAAAAUUAUAAGAGUUGGAUACAGGCAGAUGUCUUCACAAAUUCUACAAGAUUAACUCUCCAAUACACAAAUAUCAAAUCAUUCUUUUGAGAAAAUUUUUGUGUCUUUAGUUUAAGAGUCCAUUUUUCAGUUCAUUGAGCUAGGAUUUGAAAAAUAAGCCUUCAGUUUAAGAAAUUUGUUGUGUAAAAUGAUUUUAGUAAUUUCUGUUGAAAGAUGUCUCUUAGUAUUCUCCCCUAAAGUUUUUUUUUUUUGAUUCAGUGUCAGAAACUGAACUUGACUUAGUGGACCACUACCCCUGCAUACUAAUUUUGAACAUACUCAUCCAUGACUUAAAUGUUUAUUUUUCCUUU
rnacentral:lncRNA from 1 species